UUACACGAAUACACGAAUACACGACACGAACCUACACGACCUUAACAUGUAUCGUGUUGACCUUAACAGGUAACAGGUACUAAACAGGUAGACACGAAAAUACCUGUUAAUUUUCGUGUCUAAACAGGUUAGAUACAUGUUUACCUGUUAGAUACCUGUUAAGACAUGUUAAGAUUUUAAUUUUAAUUAAAUAAAAAAUAUACCCCUCAUUUAGUCAUUUACUCAAAUAGUCAAAUAUAGAUGGAAGUAUGGAACGACCCUGUCUUCUUUAGUUCAAAAAAAGAAAAAAAGAAACCCUAACUCUCUCAAGUUCAGCCGACAUCAUCCAUUCAUCCAGAUCCAGCGUGCCGGUCAUCCACCGCCGCUCAUCCGCCGCCUGCAUCCACCGUCAGUCAUCCACCGCCGCUCCACCACGCCUGCAUCCACGCCGGUCAUCCACCACGCCUGCAUCCACCGUCAGUCAUCCACCGCCGCUCAUCCACCGUCAGUCAUCCGCCGCAAUUUAAAGGUUCUAAUGAAGUUAAUUUGGAUGAGCUCACUGAAGAUAUAAUGUCACUUGAUAUUAGUGGAGAAUCAAAUGCUUCAAACUCAAUGAACACUUCUAAGGUAACCACUCCAAAUGCUUCGAGUAGUGUUGCUAAAAAACAAUGAACAAUCUAAGGUUUGAAUUGUUGGAAUUAAAGAUCUAAGAGGAGAACCAUGGCAACUUGGAAACUUUGAACUUGUUUUUAAUGGAUAUAUUGAAUUAUUUAAGUCUUUUGUGAUUUGCCGUUUAUGGAUUUUUGUUUUAAACUUGUUAAGUAUUCAGUAUUUUGUGGAUUAUUUAAGCUGUUUGUGAACUUUUGGCGA